rnacentral:rRNA from 1 species
AACGAACGCUGGCGGCAGGCCUAACACAUGCAAGUCGAACGCCCUAGCAAUAGGGAGUGGCAGACGGGUGAGUAACGCGUGGGAACCUUCCCUAUAGUACGGAAUAUACCAGGGAAACUUGGAGCAAUACCGUAUACGCCCGAAAGGGGAAAGAUUUAUCGCUAUAGGAUGGGCCCGCGUAGGAUUAGCUAGUUGGUGAGGUAAUGGCUCACCAAGGCGACGAUCCUUAGCUGGUCUGAGAGGAUGAUCAGCCACACUGGGACUGAGACACGGCCCAGACUCCUACGGGAGGCAGCAGUGGGGAAUAUUGGGCAAUGGGCGCAAGCCUGACCCAGCCAUGCCGCGUGAGUGACGACGGCCUUAGGGUUGUAAAGCUCUUUUGGCGGGGACGAUAAUGACGGUACCCGCAGAAUAAGCCCCGGCUAACUUCGUGCCAGCAGCCGCCGUAAAAC